rnacentral:rRNA from 1 species
UACGGGGGGGGCAAGCGUUGUUCGGAAUUACUGGGCGUAAAGGGCUCGUAGGCGGCCAAUUAAGUCAGACGUGAAAUCCCCAGGCUUAACCUGGGAACUGCGUCUGAUACUGGAUGGCUUGAAUUCGGGAGAGGGAUGCAGAAUUCCAGGUGUAGCGGUGAAAUGCGUAGAUAUCUGGAGGAAUACCGGUGGCGAAGGCGGCAUCCUGGACCGAGAUUGACGCUGAUGAGCGAAAGCUAGGGGAGCAAACGGG